rnacentral:lncRNA from 1 species
UUUUUGUUUGUUUUUAAAGAAAUACUCCUUGUUAAAAGGCAGCUGAGCUAGCAAUCCCUAUAGGUCACUUAGGACACCUUAAAUAUUCUAGUUACCUGUUCCAGGAUUUAAAUGUUUUUUGCUGUGACUUUAAAAGAAAAAAAAAAAACAAAACACCUCCACCAUCUUGACCCUAAAUUCAGAAACCAGAUGGAACAUUCUUAUUGCUCUUUUCCCCUCCCAAGUAUCCUGGGAACCCCCCAAACCGUAAUAUACUAAAAUGGCUAAAUGCUAGGCUGGCUUUGAAGCAAAGUAAGGGUGCGGCUCUCGUCUACAGAGGG